rnacentral:rRNA from 1 species
CAGUCGCCGCGGGAACACGGAGGGGGCUAGCGUUGUUCGGAAUUACUGGGCGUAAAGGGCGUGUAGGCGGCCUGGGGCGUCCCAUGUGAAAGGCCACGGCUCAACCGUGGAGGAGCGUGGGGUACGCUCAGGCUAGAGGGUGGGAGAGGGUGGUGGAAUUCCCGGAGUAGCGGUGAAAUGCGCAGAUACCGGGAGGAACGCCGAUGGCGAAGGCAGCCACCUGGUCCACUUCUGACGCUGAGGCGCGAAAGCGUGGGGAGCAAACCGGAUUAGAUACCCCCGUAGUCCCUGUCUCUUAUAC